rnacentral:rRNA from 1 species
UACGUAGGGUGCGAGCGUUGUCCGGAAUUAUUGGGCGUAAAGAGCUCGUAGGCGGCUUGUCGCGUCGGAUGUGAAAGCCCGGGGCUUAACUCCGGGUCUGCAUUCGAUACGGGCAGGCUAGAGUUCGGUAGGGGAGAUCGGAAUUCCUGGUGUAGCGGUGAAAUGCGCAGAUAUCAGGAGGAACACCGGUGGCGAAGGCGGAUCUCUGGGCCGAUACUGACGCUGAGGAGCGAAAGCGUGGGUAGCGAACAGG